UGACCUCGGAUCAGACGUGAUUACCCGCUGAAUUUAAGCAUAUUAUUAAGCGGAGGAAAAGAAACUAACAAGGAUUCCCUAGUAACGGCGAGUGAACGGGGAAGAGCCCAACACCGAAUCCCUUGGCGCAAGUCAACGGGAAAUGUGGUGUUAAGGUAGCCCUUCGUGUCAGUCUAGGCGUCUCAAGUCCACCUGAUUGUGGCUCAAGCCCAGAGAGGGUGUAAGGCCCGUAGAGACGCUCCGACUGAUUCCUGGGGUUUACCUACGAGUCGGCUUGUUUGGGAAUGCAGGCCAAAGCGGGUGGUAAACUCCAUCCAAGGCUAAAUACUGGCACGAGUCCGAUAGCGGACAAGUACCGUGAGGGAAAGUUGAAAAGAACUUUGAAGAGAGAGUUCAAUAGUACGUGAAACCGCUUAGAGGCAAACGGAUGGUGCUCAUACUGGCCUGAGGAAUUCAACUGUGACGGUGGCUGGACGAGCUGGCGUUCCGAUCUCUCUUUUGGGACGGGCGUCGGUUUGGCUAUCAGCUCCGACAUGGUGCACUUUCCUUGGUGCCUCCGCCACGACCGACGACACUGGCUACCCGCGGCUGGGGUAAGGUGACAAACUGCUUCGGCAAUUUGUGUUAUAGACCCCGGCGUCGGACAUGGUUUGGCCAGGACGUCGAGCUUGCGGCGCCCGCUCCUUGUGGGCUCGCAUGUUGGCUAGCUUGGCUGCGCCGAUGCUUGCACUGGACAACCAGUACAGGUGACGGUUGUGGUCUUGUCUCUAGUUGGCCUCUGCGAGUUUGGCGCCUAUAGUCUGUGGUGUACUUGUGGGUAGACUAUCCGACCCGUCUUGAAACACGGACCAAGGAGUCUAACAUGUGCGCGAGUCAUGGGGAUUCUACGAAACCCAAAGGCGCAGUGAAAGUAAAGGCCUGCUUCUCGUAGGCUGAGGUGGGAUCUCGUGCAUCGCGAUUGGCGAGCGCACCACCGGCCCGUCCUAUCUGUCUCUGUCAGUGUGGGCGGCGCAAGAGCGUACACGUUGGGACCCGAAAGAUGGUGAACUAUGCUUGCGCAGCUCGAAGUCAGUGGAAACACUGAUGGAGGAGCGCAGCGUUUCUGACGUGCAAAUCGAUCGUCAAACGUGAGUAUAGGGGCGAAAGACUAAUCGAACCAUCUAGUAGCUGGUUCCCUCCGAAGUUUCCCUCAGGAUAGCUGGCACUCGGGAAACAGUUUUAUCCGGUAAAGCGAAUGAUUAGAGGCAUUGGGGUCGAAACGACCUCGACCUAUUCUCAAACUUUAAAUGGGUAAGAUGCUCGUCUCGCUUAAUUGGAGGCGGGCUUCACCUCUCUAUAAACGUGAAUGUGAGUGCCCAGUGGGCCAUUUUUGGUAAGCAGAACUGGCGCUGUGGGAUGAACCAAACGCGCGUUAAGGCGCCCAAUGCGGACGCUCAUGAGACACCACAAAAGGUGUUGGUCGAUACUGACAGCAGGACGGUGGCCAUGGAAGUCGGAACCGCUAAGGAGUGUGUAACAACUCACCUGCCGAAUCAACCAGCCCUGAAAAUGGAUGGCGCUGGAGCGUCGGGCCUAUACCGUGCCGUUGGGGCGAAGCAGACAAAUAAUCUGUGUGGAUGUCCAACGAGUAGGAGGGUCGCCGUGGUGAGCGCAGAAGGUGCGGCCGUGAGGCCGGCUGGAGCCGCCACGGGCGCAGAUCUUGGUGGUAGUAGCAAUUACUCAAGUGAGAACCUUGAGGACUGAAGUGGAGAAGGCCAUGUGAACAGCAGUUGAACAUGGGUCAGGCGGUCCUAAGCGAUCGGGUAACUCCGUACGUACUAGACGAGGGUGACAACUAUCACUGAUAAUACUGUGAAGUGUUAUAGCCCUCCGGAGCGAAAGGGAAUCGUGUUAAUAUUCACUGCGACCCCUUACCGUGGAGAUCGCCCUUUCGGCGCAAUGUGAUCGGGGGGGCAAGCUGCGGUAACUAGCGAAGGAAGGCGAGACACAGAGACGUGUCGGCUGAGGCGGCGGAACCCGGGUGAAGAGUUCUCUGUUUCUUUGUGUAAGGAGCGUACCCGUACUGGGAAUCGCUUGUACCCCAGCGUCCGGAGAUAUGGGUUUUGCACGCGGUGCAUGAUAGCGGGCGUGGCUUCCGUAAAGCAGCGGCGAGCGGGUCUUGCGCUGUCCGGUGCACUCCUAGUCGGCCCUUGAAAAUCUGUGGGAGACAGUGGUGAUUUUCACGGUAGGCCGUACCAUAUCCGCAGCAGGUCUCCAAGGUGAACAGUCGCCUCUAGUCCUAGAACAAUGUAGGUAAGGGAAGUCGGCAAAAUGGAUCCGUAACUUCGGGAAAAGAGGAUUGGAUGCUCUGAGGGCUGGGUCGGAUGGGCUGGCGUAAGAAGAAACUGUUCCGGU
rfam:Macrostomum lignano unitig_49203, whole genome shotgun sequence.